UACGUAGGGGGCAAGCGUUGUCCGGAUUUAUUGGGCGUAAAGAGCGUGUAGGCGGCUGGGUAGGUCCGUUGUGAAAACUCGAGCUCAACCUCGAGACGCCGAUGGAAACCCUCAGCUAGAGUCCGGAAGAGGAGAGUGGGAAUUCCUGGUGUAGCGGUGAAAUGACGCAGAUAUCAGGAAGAACACCCGUGGCUAAGGCGGCUCUCUAGUACGGUACUGACGCUGAGACGACGAAAGCGUGGGGAGCGAACAGG
rnacentral:rRNA from 1 species